rnacentral:rRNA from 1 species
UACGGAGGAGGCAAGCGUUAUCCGGAAUUAUUGGGCGUAAAGCGUCCGCAGGUGGCAAUUCAAGUCUGUGGUUAAAGACUGGGGCUUAACCCUGGAAAGGCCAUGGAAACUGAAUAGCUAGAGUGCAGUAGGGGUAGAGGGAAUUCCCGGUGUAGCGGUGGAAAUGCGUAGAGCUCGGGAAGAACAUCGGUGGCGAAAGCGCUCUGCUGGACUGCAACUGACACUCAGGGACGAAAGCUAGGGGAGCGAAUGGG